UACGUAGGGUGCGAGCGUUAAUCGGAAUUACUGGGCGUAAAGUGUGCGCAGGCGGCCGCGCAAGUCGAGUGUGAAAGCCCCGGGCUUAACUUGGGAAUUGCGCUCGAAACUACGUGGCUGGAGUGUGGCAGAGGAAGGUGGAAUUCCAGGUGUAGCGGUGAAAUGCGUAGAGAUCUGGAGGAACACCGAUGGCGAAGGCAGCCUCCUGGACCAACACUGACGCUCAUGCACGAAAGCGUGGGGAGCAAACAGG
rnacentral:rRNA from 1 species